rnacentral:misc_RNA from 1 species
GAUUGAAGAUCGUGGACUGAAACGGGCUGCAGUUACCAAUGCACCUAGACUAAACGCUGAACUGAUAAUAGAAAUACUUGGCCUAAAGGAUUUCUUUGAUGUAGUUAUUAUCGGAAGUGAGUGUGAGCGUGCAAAACCAUCUCCUGACCCUUACUUGAAGGCCCUUGAACUGCUUAAGGUGUCUAAGGAGCACACGUUCAUAUUUGAGGAUUCUGCUUCCGGAAUAAAAGCUGGGGUUGCAGCUGGGAUGCCUGUUGUUGGGUUGGCAACUCGAAAUCCACCUCACAUACUAAUGGAAGCAAAACCUGCUUUUCUUAUUAAAGAUUAUGAAGAUUCGAAGCUAUGGGCAGCUCUAGAGGAAAUAGACAAAAAGUCAGGUGCCACAACAACUACUGUCUGAGACGUUCACAUACUAGGUGAAAGAUCUGUUAUUGUUGUUGAGUUAAUUGAACUUUUGCUUCAUUGAAACCUUGUAUUUUUUUUCAUAAAAGAGGGAAAUGGUACUAUCAUUAUUUUUCUUCCGUAUAAUCGGAUGUACUAGUUUCCAACAGUUGAUAUUGAUCUAAAG